GGUGGUCUAGUGUGUUAGAGCGUCCGCCUCGGAUGCGGGAGGUCGUGGGUUCGAUCCCUGGGGUCACACCA